rnacentral:rRNA from 1 species
GAUGAACGCUAGCGGCAGGCUUAAUACAUGCAAGUCGAGGGGCAGCACAGGUAGCAAUACUGGGUGGCGACCGGCAAACGGGUGCGGAACACGUACACAAUCUACCUUUGUCUGGGGUAUAGCCCGGAGAAAUCCGGAUUAAUCCCCCAUAAGAUAUUAGAGUUGCAUCAAUUCGAUAUUAAAACUCCGGUGGACAAGGAUGAGUGUGCGUCCCAUUAGCUAGUUGGUAGGGUAACGGCCUACCAAGGCGACGAUGGGUAGCUGGUGUGAGAGCACGACCAGCCACACGGGAACUGAGACACGGGCCCGACUCCUACGGGAGGCAGCAGUGAGGAAUAUUGGUCAAUGGACGCAAGUCUGAACCAGCCAUGCCGCGUGAAGGAUGAAGGCCUUCUGGGUUGUAAACUUCUUUUAUUGGGGAAGAAAAUUACGGUUUCUACUGUAACCGACGGUACCCAAGGAAUAAGCACCGGCUAACUCCGUGCCAGCAGCCGCGGUAAUAC